UCUUGCAUUUCUCUAGUGUAAAUAAAAUGAUGAUUCAAAGAAUGGUCCCCAUUAAUGAGUAUCUGAUUUAGAAUAAAACAAAAUCCAUGCUGGGAAGUUGAUGAGCUUGAUUUUGCUGAAUUGCUUUGAGCUUGCAGCUUAUAUUUAUUGGUUCUUUCCUUUCGACAAUUGUCACCAGUUGUCUGCUGUUCUUUCGGGAGAGGGCUUGAAGGUUGAUUUUAGUUCCCUGUAACUGGAGGUGACAUGUGAAAGCUCAAAGCUAUUGAAAAGUUGCAAAGGCUUCCACACACAACUGCAGUAGGGAGGGCGCAGGAAGUGGGUCAACGCUUUUGGAGGACUGGGUGAAGUUCAGGAUCCUGAGGCCCUACUUUUUGGUCGCCCAGGGUGAGAGCUGAAUGUAGGCUCCAACAGGAAGACGGCAUUGAAGCCUGGUUGCUUGUUACUACUCAGAAUGCCAUCUACAAAAGGAAAUUAUGUAAAAAGCAAUAAAGAACCCCUUUUGUUCUUGCAGG
ensembl:lncRNA LINC02934 long intergenic non-protein coding RNA 2934